rnacentral:lncRNA from 1 species
ACCAUCCAGUUCAGGACGCCUGAAUGUGUUUAACAUUUGCCAAAGGACUCACACUUGGAAGAAUGAAGACCUUUUAAAAAGAUCUGGAUUUUUCCUUAUGACUUGGAAUCCAUCUUUGUCUUGUAUAACUAGGUCAUAGCACACUAUUAAUGUCAGCAGUUAACAGUUUUGAAUUCAAAAAAACCUAAGUAAAUGACAUAUUUAAUUUUUUUCCUUUUUUUUUUUUCUCGGGUGGGUGGGUGGGAGAGCUUGGAGCUGUCUUAAUCUGUAUUCUCUUGACUGAACAAUAAAUUUUUAAAUAUAGUUUCCUCUAUUAAACACUUAAGCCUGACCAUCUUAUUAAUUCUAUUUUUUAACAAGGUAAUGUUUUAAAUGUAUAGUUGUAGCGAAACGGCAACAAUAACAAAAAAACUGUGAGCUGUUGUUACUGUUAAAUUUUCUAAAAACCUUUUACAUUGUAAGUACCCAAUCCAUUCUGUCCUUAACUGCACUGCCGUUCUCGUGUUACUGUCGCCUGAGAUGUCCUGAAUUUUCGGAAGCUUCAUCUGCAUGUAUGUCUUUGUCUUUGUCUGAUGUAAGUCAGUUAAAAUGCUUUUAGACGUUUUUGCUUCUAUAAAGCUACGAUUUUUUAGCUUCGAGCUUUUUGG